rnacentral:rRNA from 1 species
GAUUAACGCUGGCGGCAUGCCUAAUACAUGCAAAUCGAACGAAGCCUUUUGGCUUAGUGGUGAACGGGUGAGUAACACGUAUCCAAUCCACCCCUAAGCUCGGGAUAACUAGUCGAAAGAUUAGCUAAUACCGGAUAAUAACAUUCACUUGCAUGAGUGAAUGUGGAAAGUUGCGUUUGCAACGCUUUUGGUAUGAGGGUGCGACGUAUCAGAUAGUUGGUGAGGUAACGGCUCACCAAGUCAUUGACGCGUAGCUGUACUGAGAGGUAGAACGGCCACAAGGGGACUGAGACACGGCCCUU